rnacentral:tRNA from 1 species
ACCAGCCUGGCUCAGUCAGUAGAGCAUGUGACUCUUGAUCACAGGGUCAUGAGUUUGAGCCCCACGUUGGGUG